rnacentral:rRNA from 1 species
CAGCAGCCGCGGGAAUACGAAGGGUGCAAGCGUUACUCGGAAUUACUGGGCGUAAAGCGUGCGUAGGUGGUCGUUUAAGUCUGUUGUGAAAGCCCUGGGCUCAACCUGGGAACUGCAGUGGAAACUGGACGACUAGAGUGUGGUAGAGGGUAGCGGAAUUCCUGGUGUAGCAGUGAAAUGCGUAGAGAUCAGGAGGAACAUCCAUGGCGAAGGCAGCUACCUGGACCAACACUGACACUGAGGCACGAAAGCGUGGGGAGCAAACAGGAUUAGAUACCCCCGUAGUCCCUGUCUCUUAUAC